AAUGGCGUUGGUACAGGAACAAAACUAUUGUGACUGUAAUGAUGAUGCUGAGUCGAAUGCAGAAGCGUGGGAGGUAUUGUGGGAUGAAAUGC
rnacentral:ribozyme from 13 species